UUUGGAGGCUCUGGUGAUAAGGGGAACUGCUUCCAGCAGAAAACAAAGUCAUGGCGGUGUGAAACUGAGACCACCCAGUUAGGGCUUUACGUGCCAUGGGAACCACAUGCAGAUGAGGUGGUUGGGUGAACCGUUCAAGGUGCUGUAGCUUUCAGGUCAUUGACUAACAACAUCAACAAUGAAAUGAAUCUGAGAAAACAGGAAAUUGAGAGCAAGAGAAAAAAGUGUUAAUUAUACUGAUUUUGUGUAAGACCCCUUUGAACACAUUUUUAAAAAAUCAAAUAGAAGGUGCCCAGGUCCACUGUGCCUUGUGGAUAUUUGUCUUGUAUAUCCUAGAGAUCUACGCAUUCAUGUGGGAAUUGAAAAGGACCCACAUUUUACUAGAAGCAUCGUUCAUUUUUGCCUCAAAACAAACAAUGCCCACAUGUCAGAAGAACUUUCACAAUUCACAGGAACAGUGACCUAAUUAACCAACCAUAAAAUUGCCAAAUCCCUACUUCUCAUUGUUUAAUAUGCUUAGAAAACCCAUUCAAAUUGUGAAUUAUCAAGUGAGCUUAC
rnacentral:lncRNA from 1 species